rnacentral:rRNA from 1 species
CAGCCGUAAACAAUGUGCGUUAGGUGUGUCGGUAACCACGCGUUACUGAUGCGCCGAAGAGAAAUCGUGAAACGCACCACCUGGGAAGUACGGUCGCAGGGCUGAAACUUAAAGGAAUUGGCGGGGGAGCACCACAACAGGUGGAGCCUGCGGUUUAAUUGGAUUCAACGCCGGACAUCUCACCGGAUAAGACAGCUGAAUGAUUGUCAAUCUGAAGGUUUUACAUGACUAGCUGAGAGGUGGUGCAUGGCGUCAGUGACU